rnacentral:rRNA from 1 species
UACGAAGGGGGCUAGCGUUGCUCGGAAUUACUGGGCGUAAAGGGAGCGUAGGCGGAUAGUUUAGUCAGAGGUGAAAGCCCAGGGCUCAACCUUGGAAUUGCCUUUGAUACUGGCUAUCUUGAGUACGGGAGAGGUGUGUGGAACUCCGAGUGUAGAGGUGAAAUUCGUAGAUAUUCGGAAGAACACCAGUGGCGAAGGCGGCUCUCUGGACCGACACUGACGCUGAGGCGCGAAAGCGUGGGGAGCAAACAGG